CAAUGUAAUUUGCAUGUGUUCUGCGGUCACAAAGCACUACAAUAUAUAUGUCACAGCUUUUUGCAUUUCAUAUUGCAAAAUUGUGCUUUUUCAAUUUCUGAUCGAUGCAGUCAAAAUUUUUAUUCGAAACACGCAGUAAAGAGGAUGGCACCAUUGUAAAGCAACACACUCUACAUACUAAAGAGAAACUACUGCCUGCUACAACAAGGUCAUUGUGUGGACUUUGGCUGCUACUACAAGAGUCCAAGCCAAG
rnacentral:lncRNA from 1 species